CUCGUCGCCGCCAUGAGCGCCGGGCAGGCCGCGGGGGAGGAGGCGGACGCCGCCGCCGCCGCUUCCCCAACACUUCCCAGGGUGCUCUCGGCGCUCUUCUACGGGACGUGCUCUUUCCUCACCGUGCUGGUCAACAAGGCGCUCCUCAGCGCCUACAGCUUCCCAUCACCAAUGUUUCUUGGAAUUGGACAGAUGGCAGCCACUAUACUUAUCUUGUAUGUGUCAAAACUAAAUAAGAUUGUUCACUUCCCUGAUUUUGACAAAAGUAUACCUGUGAAGUUAUUUCCUCUGCCUCUGAUUUAUGUUGGAAACCACUUAAGUGGAUUAUCAAGUACCAGCAAACUCAGUUUGCCGAUGUUUACAGUGCUCAGGAAGUUUACCAUUCCACUUACUUUACUGCUGGAAAUCAUCAUACUUGGGAAACGGUACCCACUGAAUAUUAUAGUCAGCGUAUUUGCCAUCAUUCUUGGGGCUUUCAUAGCUGCUGGGUCUGAUCUGUCUUUCAAUCUGGAGGGCUAUAUCUUUGUGUUGCUAAAUGAUAUCUUCACAGCAGCAAAUGGAGUUUAUACAAAGCAGAAAAUUGAUCCAAAGGAGUUGGGAAAAUAUGGUGUCCUGUUUUAUAAUGCUUGUUUCAUGGUGAUUCCAACAGUUAUUAUUAGCUUUUCUACUGGAGAUUUUCAGCAGGUUUCUCUUGAUGUAUUCUACUGUCCUGUGCAGUCAUUACAAUUCUGCACUCACAACAACAGUAGUUGGUGCAAUCAAGAAUAUAUCCAUUGCUUACAUCGGAAUGUUGAUUGGUGGAGAUUACAUAUUCUCCAUGUUAAACUUUGUAGGGCUAAAUAUUUGAGGCAGAAUAUCUGGGUCACCUGGAGAGAAAACCUUUUGAUGAAUAAAGAUGUGCAUGCUAGGAAGUGGAGAAGAAAGAAACCUAGAGAGGAGCUGUCUAGGGAAAGGAAUGUGAGAUUUACAGGAGAAGUGUCCCUGGUGGCAAAAGAAGCUUGGAGAAAUGUCUGCAAGGUGUGGGUUCUGGACAUAUCCUCCAGUGAGACAACCAAAGGAGGGCAGCUGCAGACUGAAAGACUAGGAAUAUGUCACAGCUGAGGUACUAGAACAAAGACCAAGGAGAGCAAAAGAUGUCCAUGAAGAUGGAAAUCAGCUUGUGAGGCAAAUGUCUAAUUCCCAAAGCCAAGUGGAAAGAGUUUCUGUAGAGGGGAAAUUGAGAAAGCAGCGACAGGGUGUUUAUUACCUCUCCAGCGAAGCGGUGCGGACGGAGCACAGCCGCUUGAAGGAUUUGAGAUUCUUCCCUUGAUCUGGGCAUGGCUGCCUGCCUCUCCCUGGGAACAGCUGCUGUGUGGAGCAUCACUCAUCCUCUUUCUUGCAGGACUGCUCUUUGUCCCUGGUACUCAAAAGCUGUGCUGCUGAACCUGGCCUUGAGCAAUGUGAAAGUGUGCCACGUAAUUUGAUGUGAGGUGACACAUCAGGUCAGCUCCUCUGGGGAUGAGGUGUUGCCCCCAGUUCCACCAAUCAUCAGGUUAUCUAGCAGCCAGCUACCUGGCCAAAGAAGCACAGCCCGUGUACACAAAAGUGGAAUUCAGCUAAUUUCACCUCCAGAAGCUACUUUCUAUGUUGAAUGUGGCAACAUAAUUCAGGAGGCAAGCAGAGUUCCUCUAGGGGCUGGUAAGCUGCCUUUGCCCUGCUGGGGUGACUUCCCAAUGUUCCAGCAGCACCCUGUGGAGCAUCCACGUAGGGAAAGCUACACCUAAGCUUGGAGGUAGAGUUACACUGGGAUGACCCCAAGCACUCUCAGGGCCAUAUUAGUCCUUUUCCUCUUCUGGAGGCGCUGGACAUUUUAGCAUUCGUGUAAAUAAAGUAUGUGUGAAACAUGUGUUGUAUCUUUCCACACAGACACACAUGCAUGACACAAAUGCUCUGAGGCUAUCGGGUCGUUUAUAAUGCUCUUUGGUUUUUAUUACCAAGUAGACACAAUAUUUUUCAUGUACACAACUUGCAUAUUCACUAUUAUUUUCAGCUGUUUUAAAGUAAUAAAUAUUCUCAUGCACCUGGACAUAGUGGUGCUGCAAUUCUUAUACAUUUGCG